rnacentral:misc_RNA from 1 species
UGUUGACUGGUGCCCUACUGGAUUUAAGUGUGGUAUUAACUAUCAGCCGCCUACUGUGGUUCCGGGUGGUGACCUUGCCAAAGUUCAGAGGGCAGUUUGCAUGAUCUCCAACUCUACCAGUGUUGCUGAGGUGUUCUCUCGCAUUGAUCAUAAGUUUGAUCUGAUGUAUGCAAAGCGUGCUUUUGUUCAUUGGUAUGUUGGUGAGGGUAUGGAA